rnacentral:rRNA from 1 species
GACGAACGCUGGCGGCGUGCUUAACACAUGCAAGUCGAACGGAAAGGCCCUUCGGGGUCCUCGAGUGGCGAACGGGUGAGUAACACGUGGGUGAUCUGCCCUGCACUUUGGGAUAAGCCUGGGAAACUGGGUCUAAUACCGAAUAGGACCACGCGCUUCAUGGUGUGUGGUGGAAAGCUUUUGCGGUGUGGGAUGGGCCCGCGGCCUAUCAGCUUGUUGGUGGGGUAAUGGCCUACCAAGGCGACGACGGGUAGCCGGCCUGAGAGGGUAACCGGCCACACUGGGACUGAGAUACGGCCCAGACUCCUACGGGAGGCAGCAGUGGGGAAUAUUGCACAAUGGGCGCAAGCCUGAUGCAGCGACGCCGCGUGAGGGAUGACGGCCUUCGGGUUGUAAACCUCUUUCAAUAGGGACGAAGCGCAAGUGACGGUACCUAUAGAAGAAGCACCGGCCAACUACGUG